UACGGAGGGUGCAAGCGUUGUCCGGAUUUAUUGGGUUUAAAGGGUGCGUAGGCGGCCCAUUAAGUCAGCGGUGAAAGCCCGGGGCUCAACCCCGGAACCGCCGUUGAUACUGGUGGGCUUGAGUAUGGACGAGGUUGGCGGAAUUGAGGGUGUAGCGGUGAAAUGCUUAGAUACCCUCAAGAACACCGAUUGCGUAGGCAGCUCGCUUGGCCGAAACUGACGCUGAGGCACGAAAGCGUGGGGAGCGAACAGG
rnacentral:rRNA from 1 species